GCUGCUGUAGCUCAGUCGGUAGAGUACAUCCUUGGUAAGGAUGGGGUCGCGAGUUCGAUUCUCGCCGGCAGCA
rnacentral:tRNA from 2 species